rnacentral:rRNA from 1 species
GACGAACGCUGGCGGCGCGCCUAACACAUGCAAGUCGAACGGAGCGCAUGAGAAGAUUUCCUUCGGGGAUGAUUUUUGUGUUGCUUAGUGGCGAACGGGUGAGUAACACGUGAAUAACCUACCUCCGAGCGGGGGACAACAUUUGGAAACAGAUGCUAAUACCGCAUAAGACCACAGGGCCGCAUGGCCUGGUGGCCAAAGCAGCAAUGCACUUGGAGAUGGAUUCGCGCCUGAUUAGAUAGUUGGUGAGGUAACGGCUCACCAAGUCUGCGAUCAGUAGCCGGACUGAGAGGUCGAUCGGCCACAUUGGGACUGAGACACGGCCCAGACUCCUACGGGAGGCAGCAGUGGGGAAUAUUGCACAAUGGGCGAAAGCCUGAUGCAGCGACGCCGCGUGAGGGAAGAAGGUUUUCGGAUUGUAAACCUCUGUCUUCGGGGACGAAAAAAAUGACGGUACCCGAGGAGGAAGCCACGGCUAACUACGUGCCAGCCGCCGCAGUAACAC